GGGGUUGUGGCUCAGAGGUAGAGCACUCACCUAGCAUGUGUGAGGCACUGAGUUCGAUCCUCAGCACCACA
rnacentral:tRNA from 1 species